UGCGCUCCCUGCCUUUUUGGGGGAAAAAAACCGGGAACUGGGGACUCCGGGGAGGACGCGGCCGCGGGCGGGCGCGGUGCCGCUGCUCCUCCGCCAGGCGGCGCCACCGCACCCCCCGCUCCCGCCCCGCCAUUGGCUGCUGCCCCGCGGGCGCCGGCGCCGCUGAUUGGUGGGCGCCGGGCGGGGCCGACCCCGCCCCGAGGCGACAAGAAGCCCCGGGGCGCAGUACCGCUCGCCACCGCCAGGGGGCGCCGCCGCGGCGGGAGCAGCGCGAGGCAGCGGGCGGCGCGCGGAGGUUUUAUGGUCCCCAUGUAAUAGAUGUACUACUGGAUUCACCAGGAUCCCCAGAUGAGCCAUUUUACAUGGAUAGCUCUGGACUGCAUCCGUUUCCAGCCCUGGACAGGCCAGGAUGGUUUGGGCUGCACAGACGGGGUGUUCCCAGGACACCAGGGCAUGGUCUUGGCACCCAAACGCACACACUGGGUGGCUGAUGGACUCAGAAUUUCCAGGGAUUCUCCAAAGAGGGGAAGCAGAGGUGCUGGAUGCUGCCCUAAUCCCAGUGAGUACCAGGAGGCAUGAGGAGAGGCACCAACAGCUGGAGGCACCUGAAUUGGCUCCACCUGUCUGCUGCUGCCUGGCUUGGUCCACAGUUUCUUCUGCUUCUCAGUUUCAGGAAACGGACUGUUUUAUUGUCCCCGUCGCUCUCCGAACCCUUCCCGUCUGUGUGCCUGACCCCAUAGUCUCACGGUCGCUGGG